AGGUCUCAGAUUUCGGCCUUGCAAAGUUUCAUCCCAAGGAAAAUGAUUUUGUGUCCAUCAGUGCCACAAGAGGAACCAUAGGAUACAUAGCACCUGAGCUGAUUUCAAGGAAUUUUGGAACUGUUUCUUGCAAGUCAGAUGUUUACGGUUUUGGGAUGGUGUUGUUGGAAAUGGCUGGAGGAAGAAGGAAUUCUAAUAUGAAUGCAACUCGUUCAAGCAAAGCAUAUUUCCCAUCUUGGGUAUAUGACCAAUUAAAUAAGGGAGGUGAUUUAGAGCUUCAGAAUGUGACUGAAAUCGAGUCCGUGAUUGCAAGGAAACUAUGUAUGAUUGGUUUAUGGUGUAUUCAGGUGAAGCCAGCUGAUCGCCCCUCUAUGACAAAAGUAUUGGAAAUGUUAGAAGGGAGUAUCGAUGAUUUGCAAAUGCCUCCGAAACCUUUCUUCUCUUCUUCUUGACAUAUCUCCGGAAGAGAGAUUGAAUCAGAUUCUUCAACAGAGUUGUUAGUGUCUGAAUCGAUUGAGGAAUGUUCUUUCAAUGAUAGUUAUGCUUAGUUUUGGCAAUGAUAUGUGUAAAAAAGAAAUAAAUUGUCGUCGUGCUACCAGAGCUUCUAUAACAUUAUGUUGAAAAAUUUCAGUACGAUUCAUUGUUCGAUGUGAAUAUUCCAAUUUUGCUCGCAUCGACCAGAAUAUGGUGAAGGUUUGUCAUGUGAUCAUGUACAUUCAUCAAACUAUUGAAACGCUGCUUGCUGCAUCUCUGAUUGAGCUAGAGUAUGCUUUGAACUCUCUGGUCCUGCUGAACUUAAUUUAAAGUACAAUUACCAAAGUAUAUCGUAGACACCUAGCUAUCACCACACAUCCACUUUUACUUAAUAGAUAAUAAUUUCAUCUCACAACAGUGAUGAAUUAAAAGACAUCUAGUUCCCAUCAAUCCUAAACACACCCUUAGUCUCCCACUGAUAUAUUAUAGUAAGCGGAGGGUAGCUGCUAGGAAUUACCUAUUUUCUAAAGAACAUUACUUACUGAUCUUAAAAACAUAAUUUUCUCAUUUCUUUAUCUACAAAUUACUUUCGCAACUCUCACUAAAAUCUAUAUCACAAACAGCAAGUCCCAUCCUAUUCCUUCAUGCAUCUGAUAUUGGCAGAUAUUAAAGUUGACUAGUCUCUUUGGGGCUACCAUUGACUUAGAAAAUGGAGAAAAGAAAGAAGGAAAGAACAGAAGAAAUUAAAAAGAAACCCAUUUUCGUACCUUUUUCCGUGACAAAUUGACAAUCAAACUCUGCUCUCCCUCAUUACUCCAAAAGCAUAACUCAAACUCUGUUCUAACUCAAACUCCGCUCUGCCUCUCCCUCCAUGUCCCUCGUGAUGAGUUUAAUAAUCCUCUUCCUCUUCUUACCAUACACAUGUACAUUAGCCAAAGCUUCUGCAGAAGACAACAAGACAGAUAAAUAUGAAUUCUGUCAACCAACAAGAUGCAGUAAUAAGAGCCCAAGGAUCAGAUAUCCCUUCAGACUCAAAGCUCAACCAACAUCUUGUGGCCUUGAAGGGUUUGAAUUGUCAUGCUUAAGUGACAAGACAAUCUUGCAUCUUCCUUCCUCUGGUGAUUAUUAUGUCCACGAAAUUUCUUAUCUGGACAGCAGUAUUACCAUUGCAGAUGUGAAUGAGACGGCAUGCCCGUUUCAAAGUCUUAUCUCUGUCAACCUCACAAACUCCAAAUUCUUUCUUCCCUUUAAUGAAAGUUACGCUUUAUGUAACUGCCCUGAGAAGGUUGCUGCAGAACGGACUUCUGUUGAAGCAAUUGGACCUAUCAAUUGUCUUAGCAAUGAAAACAAUCUUUUCUAUGCCAUAUAUAGCGAAUAUUCAAUGGAGUAUAUGCCUCCAUCUUGCAGAAAAUCUCGAACAGUUGAGAUUCCUGAUGGGUUACCUCUGCAGGAUAUUGCAACGACGGCGAGGGCAAGACCAGUAGUCUUAGGAUGGGAAACUCUUGAUGGAUGCUACGACUGCGAAAAUUCAGGGAAUUAUUGUGGGUUCAACACUACAAGCAAUUCGACAAUCUGCGUUUAUUGUGGGUUCAAUACUACAAGCAAUUCGACAAUCUGCGUUGCCGUUAAAAACCAAAAACGUAAGUAAUCAUAUCUUUUCUCAGUCACCUCUCUCUACAGUGCUUGAAAGUGAAAGCCUCGUCUCUAUUUAGCAAACAAUAAAAAUAAUAAGUUGAAUUUAUUAUCAUUGUUAUAUAUGCCGGAAAAUUUAUCAGAGCAGUGUAAAUGAAAAGAAAAAAUAAUAAUAAUUAGGCUUUGCAUUAUUUUUUCAAUUGUAAAAGUGUAAUUACAAUUGCUAGAAGUUAAAAAUUAAAGAAGCCAUCUAUAUUAAUAGGGGUGGCCACUGGGCAAAGGUUAGAUUUAGUUGAAUUCCGAUGGUGAGUUUUUUAAAAAAUUAACAAUUUGAACUGAACUGAAAAUCCAAUCAAUUUGGUUCGAUUUAGUUAGGCUUUUUUUGUUUUUUUUUUUCAUUUGAGCUGUAAUUUCUUUUGCCUUUUCCUACUUUUUUAUUUUUUAUUUUCUCUCAUUUAAAUCGAUGAAUUUUUUUUUGAAAAAAAACUGACGAUUCGUUUUUUUGGCAGCAAAUAUAAUUUUACCCACCCCUAAUCUGCAUGGCAAAUAUCAUUGCUAUUAAAGGCUGCUUCCAGUAUUAGUGCCAGUUGUAGAUUGUUUAAUAAAAUGUUGCUAGCCAGGCUGAUUUGACUGUUUGAAGAAAAACUGAUACUACUCAGGACCAAAUAGAUACUACUAAUUUUCUUUAUCUCGUCAAUUUAAUCUUUGAAUCUUUAUAUUACAAUUAAUUUUCGUAAAUGGUGAGAGAUUGAUUAGACUCACAAUGCCUGAUUAAAGUUUACCCUAUUAUAUUUUCUUGCGUACUCAAUGAAUACAAAUUAAGAAGAAUUAUUAUACUAAUACCUAUGAUUAAGUUCAUGAUGGAAAAUUAUUGAGAAAAAAUUUUGUUCAAUCAAGUAACCCUCAAUAUUCACAUGGAAUAAGAGAUGAGGGGAAAAAAAUCAUUUUGUGAAUGCAGAAAGGGGAAAAAAAAACAUAAAGACAGAGAUUUCUAAUUGUGAUAAUUUUGGUGUUUUUAUUGUGUACUUAAAGUUAAAAUUUUAAAAUUGAAGUGUGUAAGGUAAAAGAGUUCUAAUUUGCCGUUUAAAUAAUUUCAUCCUUUUGCUUAUUAUUAUUUUUUCAUUAUUUAAUUAAAUGAAAAAUUAAUUAUCUAUCCACCCAUGUGAAUAAGAUACCUAAUUAUAAUUUAAGUUACGAAAAAAUACCUAUAUAUGAGAUGGUCACAUGAGAGGGACUUGUUAAAACCCAAUCAAAUGAUAUUAGAGUCUUUAUGCUACCAAGUUAAGCUUGCACGGGUCCAGACUUUUAGCAUCUCAUUUUAUUGUUUGAGUUAAUUUUUUAACUAACUUUUCUUAGUUAUAUAUAACAGAUGGUCCUGGCCCUUUAUCUAUAAGUCUAAUAUCCACAGGCACAAGCAUUGGAGGCAUCACCCUCUUUGCAUUAGUGAUAUUCCUCAUUUACAGAUCAAGAGAAUCUGAAAAAGAAAAAGAGACUCAACUGAAGGUGGAGAAGUUCCUCGAAAACUACAGGACCGUCAAUCCCACCAGAUAUACUUACAAAGAACUCAAGAAAAUAACAAGCAGAUUUAAGCACAGGCUCGGUCAGGGAGGUUACGGAAGCGUGUUCAGAGGAAAGCUCUUCAACGGAAUUCCAGUUGCUGUCAAGAUGUUGGAACAUUUAAAAGGAAAUGGACAAGAGUUCAUCAAUGAAGUGGCCACAAUUGGCAGGAUUCACCACUUCCACAUUGUUCGGCUUCUGGGAUUUUGCUCUGAAGGAAACAGGCGUGCUCUUAUUUACGAGUUUAUGCCCAAUGGAUCACUUGAGAAAUUCAUCUUCUCAAAGACAAAUAGCUCAAGUCAUCGUCAAUUGAGUUGGGAGAAGCUGAGGAAGAUUGCAUUUGGCGUUGCCCGUGGAGUGGAGUACUUGCACCAAGGAUGCAACCACAGGAUCCUGCACUUCGAUAUCAAGCCUCACAAUAUAUUAUUAGACCAUAAUUUUCAACCGAAGAUUUCAGAUUUUGGACUGGCUAAGUUGUGCUCAAAGGACAUAAGCAUUGUAUCUCUGACAGCUGCCAGAGGCACUUCGGGCUACAUUGCACCUGAACUUUUCUCCAGGAAUUUUGGUGAGAUCUCUUACAAGUCUGAUGUUUACAGUUACGGAAUGAUGCUGUUAGAGAUGGUCGGAUGCAGAAAAAAUAAUGAUCCUGCGGUUGAAAUUCAGAGCCAAAUAUAUUUUCCGGAGUGGAUUUACAAUAGAAUGGGGCAAGGACAAGAGCUCUGUUUGGAAUUUGAGGAAGAUGGGGAUGAGGGAAUUGCCAGAAAGCUUGCAAUUGUGGCUCUUUGGUGCAUUCAAUGGAAUCCCACGGAGAGACCUUCCAUGCCAAUGGUAUUACAAAUGCUUGAAGCUGAUUUUCAAAGCUUGGAGAUCCCUCCAAUGCCCUUUGUCUCUUCUGAUGUUGAGACAGGUGCAAUCAAUUGAUCUAGAUAAUAGAAGAUUACAAUUUAAAAGAGAUAUUGUUAAUUUGUUUCAAAAUUUCCCCGAUUAUAAGAAAAAUUAUUUAGUCCUCCUUGUUAUUGGAACACUUGAAAACCAGUAUAUUGAGUUUUUAUUCGAUUGUAGUUGUUUUAUCUAUCGCUUAAAAUCUUUGAUGUGUUUGACUGAUACAACAUUAAUACAAUUAUAGAUGACUUUUUUCAAUUUGUCAUAUUAGUUGAGAACCUACUAUUGUACUUCUAUUAUGUACUUAAAAAUUGAGAUGAAUGAAAUUUAUUAUUUUAAAAUAUAAAAAUCUUAAUAUUAUCACUCACAUUCUUCUUGUAUUUAUAUAUGUUCUCGUAUCAUGCGCUCAACUAAAAUUUAGGAAUCUUUUAUUUUUGAUGGGGCUUUUUUUUUUUCCUUUAAAACCAAAAUAAAGUUGGGAUUCAUUUAUGUUUUAAUCACAUGCUUGUUUCAAAAUUUUACUUUCUUACAAUGUUUUUACAAUUUUUUUAAAAUGUACUCUCAUAUUUGUUAAAUUUAAGAAUUAAAGUCCAUGAUAUUAUAUUCAUCUUUAAGUUUCUCAACAGCUACUUCGGAAGUGAAUCAGACUGGAAGGGAAAAAAUGAACAAAACAACGGAACAGUUCAUGGCUUUACGCUUCUUUAUGGACUGCGGUUGCCUCCAAGAAUAGCCCAAGUCAUUAGUGGGCUUUUUAUGCUCCUCUGAAAAGCCCAAAGCGUCCGUGAUAAAGCAGCUCAUAGGAGCAGUCCCAAUUAUGAAUCUCUCUUAACUCCUCAAGCGGGGUUUCAUUUUGAAUGCCGCCAAUUGCCUCAUUUCACAAUAUAGAUACGCAUGCAUGGAGGAUAUAUAUACACUGGGUUUAGAUGUGUAUACAUAACUUAUAAAGUUAUAAUUAUAUUAGGAGUAUAAUUGUAUAUGUAUGUAUGUGUUUGUCUGUGUGUCUUUCUCUCUCUCUGUAUAUAUAUAUAUAUGAACAAUAAAAUAAUAAUAAAAUGAAAAUUAACAAAUAGCACCUGGAAGAAGAUCAGUAGAUCACUACAGUUUUGAGGGCUAAAUGAAGCUGCACGUUGAUGACAGAAUACAGAGAGCACAAAGAUUUAAAAUACGUUUGCUUAAUGGCAUUUUAAUUUAUGCGCUCUCUAUCUUCUGUCAACAAAAUUUCAGAAAAUUAGGGCCCUCUACUUCAAUUAGAACAAAAACAUGCACCAAAUAUUAAUAAGGAAAAAAAAUCACCAAUCGAUACGUUUUUGUCUCCACAAUAAUAAAUAGCUGCGGAAUGGCCAUCGAAGCGUGCAUAUCCAUAGCAGCAUGACAUUAAAGUGCUUGAUAAAUUGUUUACAGUAGCAUGACUUUGUAUGCCAGAUAAAUGGUUGCAGGCUUAAACGCAUUAAUUUAUGAAGUGCUUCCCCCUUUUAGGCUGGAGAUAAAUCCAAUCUACAUUACUUUCCCUCCUUUUCUUGCUCGCCUUUUGCAAUAGAUAUGUUAUUAUUUUGUUUUUUUAGUACAUUUUCAAUGAGACUACUAUUCCUAUAUCGGCUGCCAAGUUAACCAUUUGAUCAAUAUUUAUUUUAUGGAUUUGAAUUCGACAUGACAAACAUUAAAAACAAGUGGCAUACAACAUGACCAAAUUUUACAUCAAUACAUACAUUAUACUAAUGCAGCUGCGACAUUUGAAAUAAGUGAUUAUUUCAUUAAAGCAAUUUAUGGCAGUGAUACAUACCACAUGAAACACAACAGAACUUGUUACAAUGUCACAAAAUUAAUACGAAAACAUUUGAUGGAGAGGAAAUCUAUGCAGAAGUGAUUUGCCUUCAUAAAAUAUCAUAGUGACACUUUUGACUCUUGACGGCAACGAAGUCUACUCAUAGAACCAAUCUUGAAUCGGAAAUGGAGAGUUUUAAAAAUCACAUGAAAAAUUAGCUUACGAAGACACACCAAAAUGUUGCACCAAGCAUAAGAUUCAAGUAUCCUUAGCUCGAAUCUGUUGUGUGUGACUUAAGUGGAUAUAUCAAACCACAUUGAUUUUUUGUUCCCUUUGCGCCUAACUAGUAUUACAUCGGUGGUCUAACUUUUUUCAUUCAUAUACUGUGUGUGAUGAAUUACAUAUAAAUUGAUCUAAAUUUUAGUCAUAAAUUAUAUCAUUUCUACUCUAAUCUACUUGAGAUUAAUGAACGUCGUAUAUGAUAAAAAAAAUAAAUUAUUAAUAACAUCUCUUUUCUUAUUCUAAUAAUCUAUUAUUUGUUGUCAUAUCUUAUGAUCAAACUAUGUAUUCGACCAUUAAUUUUCCAAUAUCAUUUUUUGAUAUAUUUACUUGUUUCCAUUAUUACAGUCUAACGGUUUAUACUUCUUUCAGGAUUUUGGUGGUCUCAAUGUGAAGCCCAGCUCAUAUUGGGCAUUUGAAAUCGAAAUCAUUAAAAAGCCCAAAAAAUAACUAAUGCGCAAGGAUAGACUCAUAUCCAUAUAUAUAUAUAUAUAUAUAUAAAUGUUCUAAUUUAGGAUUUUAAAGUGCGGGAAAGUUUGAAAAAUCUUUAAAAUUGUAAACUUUUAAAACUGUGCGGUUUUAAAACUUUCCUAAACUUUCCCGCACUUUAAAAUUCUGGAUAUAUAUAUAUAUAUAUAUAUCAGGAAUCCUUAACUUUAAUAAAGUUAGAGAUUAGCCAAAAAACAAAAAAAUUUAGAUUUUAAUACACUACAUAAAAAAAUACAAUCCAUUGGAAUAUGUGUUUAUUUUAUCUUUUAACUUACCCAUAACUUUAUUAAAAUCAGAGAUCCCUAAUUAAAAAACUAAUAUAUAUAUAUAUAUAUAUAUAUAUAUAUACACACACACAUACACAUACAAUAUUUCUAUUAUCCAAAUGUCCGGAUAUUAGUUAUCCUCUGCAUGUUGAAUAUAAGCGGUUGGAUCAAAUUGAGUCAAUCCAACGCUCUUAAAACUUUUGCGCGCUAAACUAGUAAAGUGCAAUAAAUAUUAUAUUGAUUUAUUGUCGUAAAAGAACCCUAGUUAUAUAACUAGUUGUCUGCCUAUUAACUAGUUGCCAAGCCAAAACACUAAUUAUCAUUGACUUUAAUUUUUAAUUUUGAUCGCUACUGUUGGCGGGUUCUCACAAUUAAUAACAGGUAUGCUAAAUUCUUUUAAAAAUAUAUAUGUGUGUAUUAUUUUACUCAUGAGUCAUGAAUAUAAUCUGACGCCUUUUAUUUUAUUAUUUGUAUUGUUCUAUUCUUGUCUACAUCUUUCUAAUUUCCAUGUAGCUAAAAUCCAUUUUCAUAUUAAUUACUAUAGAUCGUGAUGUUAUAAUAAUUUUUUUUUCUUGUUUGAUUUAUGAAGAGAAUGAAUGAUAUUGGAAUAGACACUGGGGAAAGUUAUGAAGAAGCCAAGCAAGAGCAGAGAGACAAAGUUUACAAACCCGUAGUCAUACCACAUGAUCAUAUGCCCAGGUUAUGACAAGAAUUUGUCUUACUAGAUGACGUUCAUGAAUUUUAUAAUGAAUAUGCAAAAAAGGUUGGUUUUAGCGUGAGAAUCAACUCUAGUAAGAAAAGUCACACAGGCGAAAUUGUAAGGAAGGAGUAUAUAUGCUCUAAAGAAGGGGCAACCACUAAAGAAGUAGUUGAAAAAAAACGACGACGCGGUAAAGUGAGAGAGGGUUGUAAGGCAAAACUAGCAAUGGUUAAGUCUAAAUCAGGAACUUAUGUAGCUAGCGUAUUUGAAGAGGAUCAUAACCACCCAUUAACAACACCCCGAAGAGUACACCUUUUAAGAUCUGUAAAGGAAGCUCAUUGUGCUGAGCUUAUGAAGAAUAGAAAGGUGAAGAAGCCGAUAGUUUCAGCAAGUGAAGUUAGUCAAUCAUGCCAGCUCAGCAGUGCCAAGUCAUCAGAGUUAGUUAUGAAAUACCAAGUCAGCACAGGAUGUUAAAGUCUGUUAUUAAUAAUUCUUGUGUGCAUAACUAACUCGUGUGUAUAUAAGCUGUGAUUGAUUAAGUUGUAAAUGACUUUUGUGAAUUGUCCAGAUUCAAUGAAAUAAAAUUUUCUCUGCAAUUUUUCCUUUAAAACAAACAGCUCAAGUUUUCUUUUAUGGUAUCAGAGCCACAAUGGCUAGUUCCAGUACAACUAAUCAAAAUCAUUCGAUUGUUCAUCAAACUCAUUCUCAUCAAAUUUCAUUUACUUUUGCUACAACCGUCAAGCUUGAUCGAUCUAAUUUUCUCCUCUGGCGUAAGCAAGUUCUGACUUCGAUCAGAGGAAAUAGACUUGAAGGUUUUAUCUCAGAAAAUCAAAAUAUUCCAGAACAGUAUUUGUCUCAAGCUCGAACUGAUGGAUCUGUGGAGAGAACUGAGAAUCCAGCAUAUGUAAAUUGGAGAGCUCAGGAUCAGACUCUGCUGAGCUGGCUCUUUUCAACUAUAAGUGAAGGUAUUCUAAGCUCAGUUCUCAAUUAUGAUACUACAUUUGAUGUCUGGAAGUCGAUUGAAAAGCAAUUUGGAGUUCAAUCUGAAGCAAAGGUUAUGCAGCUUCGAUAUGAAUUAGAUACCUUAAGAAAAGAAUCAAUGUCGAUUGAAGAAUAUUGCUCAAAGAUGAAGAUACUUGCUAAUAAGCUUGCCUGUGCUGGUGAUAAUAUAACUGAAAAAGAUCUGCUAAUAAGAACUCUUAAUGGAUUAGGAUCUGGCUAUCUGGAUUUAGCUUCAAUAAUUACAGCAAAUAAAAUGAGUUAUGAUGAUGCAUAUGCACUUUUGUUGAGUCAUGAGGCUAGAUUGGAACAACAUCAGAAUUCUCAGAAUUCUCAGGCCAUGUUUAAUGCUAAUCACAGUAUGAUGAAUGCAAACUAUUCACAAAUGAGGGGAAUUCCUAGGAGAAAUACUUAUGGUAAUGGAUCCUUUGGUCAAUUUGGAGGAAGAAGUCAAAAUUUUGGUCGAGGCAUGUUCUUUAACUCUUAUCCUAGAGGUUUUCCAGCUGGUAGUAGUACUGCUGGUGGUUUUGGAAGAGGUCAUGCUGCAAGCUUUGGAAGAAAUCAACAAUUUACACAUCAUCCUAGGUCACCACAUGUAAGGAAUACAUUUUUACCUGGAAUGAGCUCAAGCAUUUCUGCUGGUGAAUCUAAUGAGUCAAUACCUGUGUGCCAAAUAUGUCACAAACAAGGUCAUACUGCUGAUGCUUGCUGGUAUAGAUAUGGUGAUAAUUACUCUCCUUUUCCAAAACAAUUUGGGAGAGGAAAGAUGAUGGGACCUAAAGCAGCAUAUAUGACCAAUUUUGAGCCAUUCUCAUACCACCAGUCAGCUAUUGAAGAUCCUUAUGAACUUUCUGGUGUCAACUCUGGCUGUCAACCAGUUCAUUACUCCCCUGUUUCUUCUUAUUCAUCAGAAGCAUUUACUUUGCCUGAAGCUUAUGUUGCAAAUCUGGAAGAUUCAUCAGAUGAAGGGUGGUAUCUGGACAGUGGUGCCACACAUCACAUUACAAAUAACAUGGAAAACAUGCAUGUACGAGAAGAAUUCAAAGGUUUAGACCAGCUUACCAUUGGCAAUGGACAAGGUUUGAUCAUUACUCAUAUUGGUGAUGCUUGCUUUAACUAUAAAUGCCUUCAUACUGCCUGCCAGCACACACCUAUAACACUUAAAGAUAUCUUAUUAGUUCCUUCAAUUACUAAGAACUUAAUAAGUGUAUCUAAGUUGACAACUGAUAAUAACCUUUCUAUUGAAUUUGUUGGCAAUGUGUGUUAUGUAAAGGAUUCACUGAAGGGACAGGUGCUUUUGCAAGGUCUUGCUGAAAAAGGAUUAUACAAGUUGCUGUUAAAGUCAUCUCAGACAUCACCCUCUUCUUUCUUGAGUCAAGUUUCUUCAAAUAAGCCUUUGUCUAUGCUAUCUACUUGUCAUCUUUCAUUUCCUGUUACAACUGGUGCUCAAAAUAAUCAUUCAACUUCUAUGUCUUGUUAUCAAACUGUUGUCUCUCCUUGUAAUGCAUCAGUUAAUAAAAUCAGUUUGUUUCAUAGAAGAUUUGGUCAUCCUCAUCAUGAUGUACUAAUACAUUUGCUUAAGAAUGAUAAAACUAUCAAUCUCUCUACCAAUCUUAUCAAACAAUCUGCACAGCAGAUAUGUGAGGCAUGUCAACUAGGCAAGGUUCAUAGAUUGCAUUUUCCUAUUGCUGAAACCAAAACUUCUCACAUCCUUGAACUCAUUUAUACUGAUUUAUGGGGACCCUCACCUAUACCUUCUAGAACUGGUCAUAUCUAUUAUAUCAGCUUUGUUGAUGAUUUUAGCCGAUAUACUUGGAUUUAUCCAUUAAAGUUGAAAUCAGAAGCCUUACAAAUUUUCAAACUAUUCAGAUUGCAAGUUGAAAAACAGUUUCAAUGCCCCAUUAAGAAGUUGCAAUCUGACUGGGGGGGAGAGUACCGAGCAUUUACUGAAUUCUUGAAUCAAAAUGGCAUUAUUUUCAGGCACUCAUGUCCCUAUACACACCAUCAAAAUGGGGUAGUUGAGAGAAAGCAUAGGCAUGUAGUUGAGUCAGGUCUCACACUUUUAGCUCAAGCUAAGUUACCCUUACAAUUUUGGUGGGAAGCCUUCCAAACUGCUGUUUAUCAUAUUAACAGGUUGCCUUCUGCAACUCUGAAAUUUCUUACACCAUAUGAAAAGCUUUUCAGUCAUAAACCAGAUUACAAGAUGCUCAAGUGUUUUGGCUGUGCAUGUUAUCCUUAUUUGAGAGAUUACAACAAGCAUAAGUUUGCAUAUCAUUCUAGUAAAUGUAUUUUCAUAGGUUACAGCCCUUCUCAUAAAGGGUACAAGUGUUUACAUCCAUCUGGUCAAACCUAUAUAGCUAGACAUGUUGUUUUUUAUGAGAAUUUGUUUCUUUACUCAUCAGAUUCUGGUUUCACUUCAAACUCAUCAAAUUCAUGUUCAAACCUACCAUUUACUCCUCAACAAGUGUAUCAUCUAUCCACUUUGUUAAUAUCUCCAAUAUCAGAUGACAGCAACUACUAUAAUCAUGAUUCUGCAAGACCUACCAGUAGCACUUCUCAUCACUCAGGUAAUUCUGCAUACAACAUUGAUCCUCACUCUUUAUCACAAACAGUUCAACCACAUACAGAGCCAGAGCCUUGUACUUCUCCUCAUGAUCAAAUAUCUCCUCAUAAUCAAAUAUCACUAAACACUAUUCCAUCUAUCUCAUCCCUAGAACAUACACAACACAUUACUACACCAGUAAACUCACAUUCCAUGAUCACUAGAAGCAAAGCUGGGAUUUUAAAGCCAAAACUCUACAAUGUCACACUUGUUCAUAAAGAACCAGAAUCUGUCAAAGAAGCUAUGGAGAAUCCUAAAUGGUUUGCAGCCAUGAAGGAUGAGUACAAGGCUCUAAUGGAUAACAAAACAUGGUCUCUGGUUCCUAGAUCAGCUGGUCAGAAAAUUAUUGGCAACAAGUGGGUAUUUAGAGUCAAACAAAAUUCAGAUGGAAGUUUGGCCAAGUAUAAAGCCAGACUAGUAGCUAAGGGGUUUCAGCAGAUUGAAGGGGUUAAUUACUUUGAGACAUUUAGCCCUGUAGUAAAGUCAGCUACUGUCAGAGUGGUGAUUAGUCUAGUUGUCAUGAAACAAUGGGAGAUAAGGCAAGUCGAUGUAAAUAAUGAUUUUCUUAAUGGAGAGCUGACAGAAGAGGUGUUUAUGGAUCAACCAGCAGGCUUUGUCAAUAAUCAGAAACCAGAAUUUGUAUGCAAACUCCAUAAGUCUCUCUAUGGUCUUAAACAAGCUCCAAGGGCCUGGUAUGAGAAGUUAAAAAGCUGCUUGUUACAGUGGGAUUUUGUCAAUUCAAGAGCAGACUCUUCCUUAUUCAUAAAGAAAACAAGAAACUUCAUGAUAAUGGUGUUGAUUUAUGUAGAUGAUAUCUUAAUCACAGGACCAGAUAGUGCAGCAUUGGAAACCUUUAUAACUGAACUGAGCAGAGUCUUUGCCUUGAAAGAUUUGGGUAAUUUGUCUUAUUUUCUGGGCAUUGAAGUUUUGUAUGAUGCAGGUUGUAUCUAUCUGUCACAAAGGAAAUACAUAAGAGACUUAUUAUCCAAAGUUCAGCUACUUGAAUGCAAAGGAAUUGAUAAACCUAUGAGCACUGGGAUAAAGCUACAAAAGGAAACUCCAGGUCAUCUUGGUCAGUAUAUCACUGAUCCUACACAUUAUAGAAGCAUUGUGGGGGGAAUGCAGUAUCUGAUCCUAACAAGACCAGAAAUUGCAUUUGCUGUCAACAAGUUAAGCCAGUAUGUUUCCACUCCUACAUUGCAGCACUUGGUAGCUUGUAAGAGAGUGCUCAGAUACUUGAAGUCUACUUAAGAUUAUGGACUUAAAUUUGCUCAGCAUGGAGAGAUGAAGAUCACAGGAUUCACUGAUGCAGAUUGGGCUGGUGAUCUUGAUGACAGAAAGUCUGUGGGUGCUUACUGCAUUUACUUGGGAAACAAUCUAAUAUCAUGGUCAUCUAAAAAGCAGUCAGUCAUUGCCAGAUCAAGUGCUGAAAGUGAAUAUAGAGCCUUAGCUUCAGCUAGUGCAGAGAUAAGCUGGUUACAAUCUCUGUUUUCUGAAAUUGGUUUAAGCUGUACAGAAACUCCUAGUGUUUGGUGUGACAACAUCAGUGCCACUGAGUUAGCUCGCAAUCCAGUUAUCCAUUCAAGGACUAAACAUAUUGAAAUUGACUUACACUUCAUCAGAGACAAAGUGAUUGCUGGAGAACUGCAAAUUCAGUACAUUCCUAGUGCAGAACAGAUAGCUGAUAUCAUGACCAAGCCUCUCUCAUUUAUUCACUUUAACUAUCUUAGAGACAAACUCAAUGUGCAGAUGUGUCCCUUGAGUUUGAGGGGGGCUGUAAAGGAAGCUCAUUGUGCUGAGCUUAUGAAGAAUAGAAAGGUGAAGAAGCCGAUAGUUUCAGCAAGUGAAGUUAGUCAAUCAUGCCAGCUCAGCAGUGCCAAGUCAUCAGAGUUAGUUAUGAAAUAGCAAGUCAGCACAGGAUGUUAAAGUCUGUUAUUAAUAAUUCUUGUGUGUAUAACUAACUUGUGUGUAUAUAAGCUGUGAUUGAUUAAGUUGAAUAAUGACUUUGUGAAUUGUCUAGAUUCAAUGAAAUAAAAUUUUCUCUGCAACUUUUCCUUUAAAAACAAACAGCUCAAGUUUUCUUUUAAGAUCUCAUCGUAAUGUGUCAGAAGCAAAAAGAUCAUUGACUCGUCAAUUAGCAGCAGCUAAUAUACCAAUACAUCAACAAAUUAGUGUCCUUGAGUUGCAAGCUGGAGGUAUACAAAAUAUUGGAUGUCUUGGGAAAAAUUUAUAUAACGAUGAAACGAAAUCCAAGAAUAAAGUGAAAGGACAUGAUGCAGAUAUGUUGUUAGAGCGUUUUCAGUUGGAAAAAGAGAAAAAUUCAGCAUUUACUUUUACAAUUGAGUCCGAUAAUGAAAAUAGAAUUACCCAUUGUUUUUGGGCUGAUGCAACAUCUAGAAGGGGUUAUAAUUCUUUUGGUGAUGUGGUGGUUUUUGAUACUACUUAUAAUACCAAUAAAUAUGGUAUGAUUUUUGCACCAUUUAUCGGGGUUAAUAACCAUGGCCAGACAAUUGUCUUUGCUUGUUCAUUCUUAAGCGAUGAAACUACUGAGUCUUUUGUUUGGUUGUUUGAGUAAUUUAAAAAAGCUAUGCCUAGUGAUCUACCGAAAAUGAUUAUUACUGACCAAGAUCCAGCUAUAACGAAAGCCAUUUCUGAAACUCUUCCAAAUACAUUUCAUAGGUAUUGUAUCUGGCACAUACUGAAUAAAUUUUCUAAUAAGAUUCAUGCAAUCAAGCAUAAGGAUUAUUAUCCUGAUUUUCAAAAAUGCAUUUGGAAGUCAUUGAGUAGGGAUGAUUUUGAUAGAAAUUGGCUGGAGAUUGUAGAAAAAGGCAAGCUACAUGAUAAUGCAUGGCUAAAAUCAGUUUUUGAAAUUCGUUCAAAAUGGGUGCCUACAUAUGUGAAUCAUGUCUUUUCUGCUGGAAUGUCCAGCAGUCAACAAGCAGAGAGCUGUCAUUCUUUCUUCAAGAGGUACGUGUCUAAAAAAAAUUCAUUAUUGGAUUUUAUGAUACGAUUUAAUAGAGCACUUAAUCACCAAAGACAUGAAGAGUUAAAUGCUAAUCAUGCAGACGUCAAUGAAAAACCUACUUUGAAAUUGCCUUUGAAGAGGGAGAAGCAAAUGGUUAGUCUUUACACACGUGAAAUUUUUUAUAAAUUUCAAGAUGAAUUGUGGGAUAGUUUGCAACAUAAAAUCGAACUUCUAAAAGAAUAUGCUCAUCAUUGUGUGUACAAAGUUGUGAACCAGAAUGAAGAUGAUGAUGUGCACGAAGUUUUGUUUGACAAAACUUUGGAUUUUGCUUCAUGUAUUUGUAAGAAGUUUGAGAGUAAAGGAAUUCCAUGUAAACAUAUUUUAGUUUAUUUUCAUAGAAAGCAAUUUACAUAUUUGCCAGAUCAAUACAUACUGAAGAGAUGGACAAAAUAUGCAAGAUGUGAUAAAGUCAUUGGUGAUGGUGGUUUAGAAAUAGAAGAUUGUUUCCAGAGUUCAAUUCUCAUGAGACGUACUGCAUUAUUUCAACUCGCUUCAAAUGUUAUUGAUAAGGCUGUCAUUAGUGAGGAGGCAAGUAAGAUACUGAUGGAUGAUUUCGAAAAUUCACUUCGGAAGAUUAAGUCAGUUGUAAGUCAGGAUCCAAAAGCUAUGGAGAAAAACAAGUGUACUGACCAACAUGUAUUGAAUGAUCCACUUGUAGUUAGGGCAAAAGGGUGUGGAAAAAGGCUGAAAAAAAGAAAAGAGAAGGCACGAGCUAAGGAUAAAAACAAGCAUUGUCAUGGAUGUGGAAAAAUUGGACAAUCACAUGAUAAAAGAAAUUGUUCAAUGCUCAAAAAUCGGUAAGCAUGUUUAACUUAACAUAUAAUUAUUAUACAACAUUUUUUUAUACUAAUUUUUUUACUCUAUUUUUACUUCACAUAGGUCUUCUUUAUUGGAUGAUGCAGAUAGUUUUAAUGAAAGCUCCUCCUCUAUAGGUACAUGGUCUUUGACAUAACUAUAAAUAUAUUUUGUUGUAUUGACAUUUGUGAAUAUGAAGUAAGAAUCUAAUUAAUUAUUUGUUCAUGCAUGUGUGGUUGACUACAGAUGAAUGACGGUCAAGAUCUGGGUUACUUUGGAUUCAUUUGAGAAAUCAUGGUUAUUAUUCUGACCAUGGGCUUAGCUAAAAUGUUUGGGCAAAUUAGAAUUUUUGUCUUCUGUAAUUAAAUUUUACAGGACUUAAUGAGUGUUAAAUAUUUUUCAAUUAAUUUACCUUAUAUUCCCAUUUGUCUUUUAUUAACUUUUUUAAUUUUAUAGUUGAAUGUCAUUCAAUGAGUUGGUUGCCAGUGAACAAUAAUUUUUUUUUUGAAAAGAGGAUUGUAAAUUAAUUGAGAAAAUUAAUGCGGUUUAAUUAGAAAGAUGCAGAAUAUUUAUAAGAAUUGAACAAUGAAAUAGAAUUGGAAUAUAUAAUUUUAAAAAAAUCAUGAAACAACAAUAAAAGAAAAAGCGCUUGAUUACAUUCAUGAUAAUUAGUAUAUUGAUUUGACAAGACUUCACAUGGGAUAAGUUAUUUAAAUAAAUUUAUAUUUUACCAGAUUUUACACUAACACAAUUUAAUAGACAGACAACUAGUUAUAUAACAAAGGUUUUUUUACGGCAAUAAAUCAAUAUAAUAUAUGUUGCACUUUACUAGUUUAGCGGGCAAAGGCUUUAAAAGCGUUGGAUUGACUCAAUUUGAUCCAACCGCUUAUAUUACACAUGCGGAGGAUAACUAAUAUCCGAACAUUCGGAUAAUAGAAAUAUUGUAUAUAUAUAUAUAUAUAUUAUCAUGUGUGGAUUUCCGCAUCUUUUAAAAUGUGAAUUUACUAAUAUACAAUAUAUUAAUUAUUUAAAAAAAGUUAAUAAAAAUACUAAUGCAUUGUAUGGCGUAUACGCGCUAUCACGCACACCUGAAGUAUUUUAAUUAGUGGAGUUGUGGGGCCUACAACACAACUCCACCAAUAAAAACUUAUCAUGCAUUAUAUUACUCAACUCUGGGUACCUAAUCAUAAUUCUAAAUGUACAUAUAUUUCUUUAUUCAUAAUAAUAAUAAUAAUAACAAUAAUUACAACAGCAACCAUAAUUUUUAGAAACUUGUGACAUGACAUGAGAAGUCCUCAUUCUUCUGCAUGUUGGUCGCUUUAAAAGUGUUGGUCGUCGGGGCCUCUCCAAAUUUCCAAUGCCGCGUUUCUCCAAAUCCUGUCAGGAAAAAAAAAAAAAGGUGGGGUACGCCAGUGUGUUUGGUGGUGAGAAAUUAAGAAAGCGAAAGAUAUUAACUGGAAUUGGACUGCAUUGAAACUGUUUCCAAUAAGUUCCAUCGCUUUUAAUGUUGAAGAACGUUUACCAAGAAAUUUGAGGUCAAGCUAGUAUUGGGAUGGAUCAUCCCAUUCCCACCGAUGCUAACUCAUUUACAAUUACCAGGAAAUUAAGCGACUUCUCCUUGCCGUAUGGACUUCCCCAUUGGAAUCUGAAAGCUUCCACCUAAACAAAUCGUGGAAAGAGACUCCAGAAGCUUCGUGGCAUCCGCAUAAAAAAUUUACAGUAAGAAACGAAAUUGAACAUGUUUAUCUAAUUUGUCCCCAUUGCAGUAAUGCUACAAGCCUAGCACUCAGUAAUUAAAAAUUUUCUUCCAUCGUGUCGAUUUCAUUUUAUGAAUAAUUAAUAUUAUUUUUAAAACAAAUUAUUUAGUGCUAAUUAAUUCAAUCGCAUAGUUGUAUACUAAACUAUAAUAAGUUUAAAGCCCGCCUCUCACCGCAAGUGAAACUGUAGAAAACGUAGCGCAUGAACACUUUUAUACCGUUCUGCUUAGUUUAUUCAAAUUCAUUAAUUGUAUCCUGCAAUUGGAGGAGCAAUGAGUAGUGAAGAAGCUUCAAUUUUCUCAACUUUUCUGUUUUGUCUGUUGAUGUUUGUAUUCAGCACCAGUGAAAUUGAAGCAAGAAAACUUGAAGUACAAAUGUGUUCUUUUUCUUGUGGAGAUGUCAGAAACAUAAGCUACCCUUUUCGCCUCAAGGGCGAUCCAGCUGGAUGCGGUCAUCCGGAGUUAGAACUUUCUUGUGAGAACAACAAAACCAUCUUAGAAUUGUCCAAUUCUGCAAGGUACUAUGUAAAGAGAAUUUCCCAUGAUAAAUGUACAAUCAGUGUUGCCGAUGUUAACCUAGCCAAUGGAAGCUGCGGCCUCCCGUACAAAUCUUUUUCCCUAUAUCCUUACUUUUUCCGACAUAUUAACGGUUACAUUCUUAAAUCAUACGCCCAUUACGUGAAUUGCUCAAGUAAUAUUAUUGAUCAGGCGUAUACGAAAGUUCCAUGUUUGAGUAACAAUCAGUCGAAUGUCUAUGUUUAUGUUGGACAUGUUGGAUAUGGUGUCACCAACCCCAGAAUAUAAGAUCUUCCAGACUCAUGCGUCUUCAUUUCAAAGGUUCCUGUAGUACUUAAAAGGGGUGUGGACAAUCCUUCUUAUGAAGACCUCCGAAAAUCGCUGGAGUCAGGGUUCGAUUUUAAACGGUUAGAUGAGUGCAGGGACAACACAUUUACUGAGUGUAAGCCUAUGCUUAUGUUUAUUUAUGCCUUCAAAUGCAAGCGAUUUGUUUUUUGUUUCUCAAUAUUGUACGUAAUAAAGAAUUUGUGAACUAUAUCUAAGAGCAUACCGAUGUGACCCUUAAUUUCUGUUUCUUUUCACUUUUGCAACAGAUUGCAACUUCAGAUACAAUGGAGUAGUGGCAAAAAUUAUUUGCUACCCAUGUUAUAUGCGUAAGCAUAUCCUUAUAUAUCUUUUUGAUCAUGUGUUUUCGACGUUAAUAAAUGCGACGGCUUCAUAUAUUCUCUAAUCUUUUGCUGUCUAGUUUUUUUCUGAAUCAUCUCUCUGAUUAGGUAUAAAGCAUAUUUAAUUUUUCCCCCUUCUCUCCAAUUGCAGUUUUCGGAGUAAUUUACCAAGCAAUGUUUUGGCCUUCCAUGGGAAAUUGGAUAAGUUUUCUGUUAGGUAAAAUCUCCUCUCCAGGAUCCUCUUUUUAUUGCUUUGCUUACUACUAUUUACUUUCAAUAAACGUUCUCUUUACCAGGGUUUCUAGUUGAUGUUCCGAUAAUUGGUAGAUUUAUUCUUGCUCCAAUAGUCUUUCUCGUGUUCCUUAUCCAAAGAUAUAGAAAAUCAUUGAAGAGAGUUGAUAAUGUGGAGAAAUUUCUGCACAAUCAACAAUCGUGGAUGCCUAAAAGGUACUCUUACCCGGAGAUAAUUGCCGUGACAAACCACUUCACUCAUAAAUUAGGCCAAGGUGGCUUUGGUUCAGUUUAUAAAGGACAACUUCAUACCGGUCGCUUGAUUGCUGUUAAGAUGCUGGAGAACUCCAAGUUCAGUGGGGAGGAAUUCAUCAAUGAAGUUUCAACAAUUGGUAGAAUUCACCACGUUAAUGUAGUCCAGCUAUUGGGGUUCUGUUCUGAGGGAUCCAAACGGGCACUUGUCUACGAGUAUAUGCCUAAUGGAUCACUCGAUAGGCAUAUCUUUCCCAAGGAGAGUAGAGGCCAAUCUUUUAGUUGGGAGAAACUCCACGAAGUUGCUUUAGGAACUGCCCGUGGGAUCGAGUAUUUACACAACGGAUGUGAUGUCUGCAUUCUUCAUUUCGACAUUAAGCCUCACAACAUCCUGCUAGAUCAUAAUUUCAUCCCAAAGGUCUCAGAUUUCGGCCUUGCAAAGUUUCAUCCCAAGGAAAAUGAUUUUGUGUCCAUCAGUGCCACAAGAGGAACCGUAGGAUACAUAGCACCUGAGCUGAUUUCAAGGAAUUUUGGAAAUGUUUCUUGCAAGUCAGAUGUUUACGGUUUUGGGGUGGUCUUGUUGGAAAUGGCUGGCGGAAGAAGGAAUUCUAAUAUGCAUGCAACUCGUUCAAGCAAAGCAUAUUUCCCAUCUUGGGUAUAUGACUAAUUAAAUAAGGGAGGUGAUUUAGAGCUUCGGAAUGUGACUGAAAUUGAGUCCGUGAUUGCAAGGAAACUGUGUAUGAUUGGUUUAUGGUGUAUUCAGGUGAAGGCACCUGAUCGCCCCUCCAUGACAAAAGUUUUGGAAAUGUUAGAAGGGAGUAUUGACGAUUUGCAAAUGCCUCCGAAACCUUUCUUCUCUUCUUCUCGACAUAUCUCCGGAAGAGAGAUUGAGUCAGAUUCUUCAACAUAGUUGUUAGUGUCUGAAUCGAUUGAGGAAUGUUCUUUCAAUGAUAGUUAUGCUUAGUUUUGGCAAUGAUAUGUGUAAAAAAGAAAUAAAUUGUCCUUGUGGUACC
rnacentral:lncRNA from 1 species